rnacentral:SRP_RNA from 1 species
GCCGGGAGUGGUGGUGCACACCUGUAGUCCCAGCUGCUUGGGAGGCUGAGGUGGGAGGAUCGCUUGAGCCCAGGAGGUUGAGGCUGCAGUGAGCUAUGCUUGCGCCACUGCACUCCAGCCUGUGUGACAGAGCGAGACCCUGUCUCAA